rnacentral:rRNA from 1 species
AGGAUGAACGCUGGCGGCGUGCUUAACACAUGCAAGUCGAACGAUGAAAGCCGGAGCUUGCUCUGGCUGGAUUAGUGGCGAACGGGUGAGUAACACGUGAGUAACCUGCCCUUGACCCUGGGAUAAGCACUGGAAACGGUGUCUAAUACCGGAUACGAGCUUCAGCCGCACGGCUAGGAGCUAGGAAAGAUUUCGGUCAAGGAUGGACUCGCGGCCUAUCGAGGUAGUUGGUGAGGUAAGCUCACAGCCGAGACGGUAGCGCUGAGAGGUGACCGCACACUGGACUGAGACACGGGCCCAGACCUCCGUACGGGACGACGAGACAGGUACGGGGAAUA